GACGUAGGGGGCGAGCGUUUGUCCGGAAUUAUUGGGCGUAAAGCGCGCGUAGGCGGCUCGGAAAGUCGGAUGUGAAAAUCCGGGGCUCAACCCCGGACCUGCAUCCGAUCUCCUGAGCUGGAGGCAGGCAGGGGAGAUCGGAAUUCCUGGUGUAGCGGUGAAAUGCGCCAGAUAUCAGGAGGAACACCGGUGGCGAAGGCGGAUCUCUGGGCCUGUCCUGACGCUCAGGCGCGAAAGCUAGGGGAGCAAACAGG
rnacentral:rRNA from 1 species